CUUAACACAUGCAAGUCGAACGGUAAGGCUCCAGCUUGCUGGGGUACACGAGUGGCGAACGGGUGAGUAACACGUGGGUGACCUGCCCUGCACUUCGGGAUAAGCCUGGGAAACUGGGUCUAAUACCGGAUAGGACCGCACCGUGAGGGUGUGGUGGAAAGUUUUUUCGGUGUGGGAUGGGCCCGCGGCCUAUCAGCUUGUUGGUGGGGUAAUGGCCUACCAAGGCGGCGACGGGUAGCCGGCCUGAGAGGGUGGACGGCCACAUUGGGACUGAGACACGGCCCAGACUCCUACGGGAGGCAGCAGUGGGGAAUAUUGCACAAUGGGCGGAAGCCUGAUGCAGCGACGCCGCGUGGGGGAUGACGGCCUUCGGGUUGUAAACUCCUUUCACCAUCGACGAAGGGUUUCUGACGGUAGAUGGAGAAGAAGCACCGGCUAACUACGUGCCAGCAGCCGCGGUAAUACGUAGGGUGCGAGCGUUGUCCGGAAUUACUGGGCGUAAAGAGCUCGUAGGUGGUUUGUCGCGUCGUCUGUGAAAUUCCGGGGCUUAACUCCGGGCGUGCAGGCGAUACGGGCAUAACUUGAGUACUGUAGGGGAGACUGGAAUUCCUGGUGUAGCGGUGAAAUGCGCAGAUAUCAGGAGGAACACCGGUGGCGAAGGCGGGUCUCUGGG
rnacentral:rRNA from 1 species